UAUCACUUUUAUUUAUUUCUGGAUUUUAUUUGCUAGAAUUUUUUUUUUAAUUUUACUGAAGUGUAGUUGAUUUACAAUCAAAGUUUUAGUUUUAAAAAUAGCCAAAUGUGAAGAAACAGCCAAAAGCCUGGGAACUGAAGGUGGAAAUAGACCAGGGUCUACACCUGCCCUUCAGUCACUGGAAACCAAAGGCCACGUGCAUUGCCCUCGUGGGCUCCAGGGGAGAUGAGGCCAUCACGCACAAUAGAGCUCUCAAGAUUUCCAAAGCUUCAGUCCUUCCGCUUAAACACAAGCAACCUCUGCCACCACCAUCCCCCCACGGGCAAGAGGACCCAGACAGACACUGAGGAGCAUGCGUUUGACACCCAGACACGAUCUGAAACAGGUAUUUUCCUAUGCUGGCUGCUGAUAUGUAGUUAAGUCCAAAGAGAGAGAGAGAGAGAGAACUAGCAAGUAAAGACAGCACUUAUAGACUGCAUGGAAGGAGCUGUGGGUUGAACCAUGUCCCCUCCAAAUUGAUACUUCCAAGGAAGACCCCCGGCGCCUUGUUUGGACGUAGAGUCCUUGCAGGUGUGGAUUAGUUAAAAUGAGGUCAUACUGGAGCAGGACGGGCCCCUGACCCAAUGACUAGCGUCCUCGUGACAAAGGGAGACUGGGACAGACACGCACACAGGGAGAAGGUGGUGUGAGUGUGAGCACAGGGAUCAAACAACGCCUCUAUGGCCAAGGAACAGCAAAGAUGGCCAGUAAGUCUCCAGGAAUGAGUCAGGGGCCUCAGACAGGUUCUCCCUCACGUUCUCAGAAGGAACCAACCCUGCCCACAACCUGAUCUCAGACUUCUGACCCUCAGAUCAAUGAGAUGAUGAACUUGUGUUGUCUCAGCACAGCCCUAGCUGUCUCAUCAUCGCAGCCCUAGCCCUCAUGGACUCAUACAGAAGGGCCCUGGACUGAACGUGACCUCUUGAGCCAGUGCUGGGGCUCCCGUGAGGCUGAUCUGAAACCAUAGAAGCCUUUUGCACAUCAGCAGAACCAGGACCUGGGGAGACCUGCUGGUAGACCACAGGCCUGAUAAUCUCACUAUGCUCAACACACCUCUGCCUGUACCCCAUCUCCAGUCCACACCUGCAACUCCCACCUACUGGACAAGCAAAGGCAGAUCCCCGACAUUGGUGCCAGGACUUCUGCCAUCCCUUGUGCCCAUGGCAGAUGCUGCUAAUUCAUUAAGACGCUCUCCUGCUGAAAACAGAGCCUCAGAGUCUUUCUCAACCUAGGGACCCUAGAAGCCACCGAAAGGCAUCUAUUAGAGUUGGCAUGAUAGUUGAAACCAAUUUAGGAUUCCCAUUCUAGGUAGUGACUCUGUGAGGUCAAGACCGGUAUCCUUUGCUCCUCCAAACAUCUUGUAUCACUUGGCACAGCGCCUCAUAACCUACAGGCACUAGGCCGUACUUGUUGAAUGGAUAUGUUCUUGCAUUUGGGCUCAUAUGGGACGAGAGUGACAGCAAGAGCAAUUCUCAUACACUUUGCAAAUUACCAUUUUAAAAGGAUUUUCUGGAUGACUUUUUAUGACGGUUUAGGGACAGCACUGACCUUCACCAUCAACAUUUAUUUAUUCAACAACUAUUAACUGAGCACUGCUACACGCCCAGCCUGGCCCAAGUUUGGAUUCAAGAGUGGGAAGGCAAAAACCACUACAAUAUUGUAAAGUAAUUAGCCUCCAACUAAUAAAAAUAAAUGAAAAAAAAUAAUAAAAUCACUUUCCAUUGGGGGAAAAAAAAAAAGAGUGGGAAGGGGAUGUUGAACAAUGCAGAUCCCAAGAAACUACAGAAAAGCACCAUGAAUAAUUGACACGAACUCCCUGAAAUUCACAAGGAUGAAUAUGAAUUCCCAACACUGUCAAUCUGACAUACUGAGCAUCGAGAUGCUCUUAAAUGGAAAGUCCUUCCAAUCCCCCUGCCACUCAUGGCGCUGCCUCCCCCUGUGAUGGUACAGACAGGACCACAAGUAGCUCCUAAACCCUAAACACAGGAGUGGGUUUAGAGGCCAAGAUCAACCUGCUCUUUGAACACAUUUCUGAUCCCAAGUAAUUCAUCUCCAUUAACAUUAAUUACAGGGCAAAGCAUGGGCUUGGGGCUAAGAGAUCUCAUGGAAGUGUGUCUUCAUGUUCAUGGGUGAUCACCUAAUGAGAACAUUUGUUUGGGGGAAACAGUGACUUUGGAACUUCAGGAGCAACUUCUGAUCCUCCGUGGCAUUAGGAAGACACCACCCAGUGAGGAAAGGAGGAGGCGCCCACAUGAGGGCUGACCUACCUGUCU